GUCCGUGUUGCGCAAUGGAUAGCGCGUUGGACUUUUAAUCCAAUGGUCGUAAGUUCGAAUCCCACCUUGGAUG